rnacentral:rRNA from 1 species
UGGGGAAUUUUGGACAAUGGGGGCAACCCUGAUCCAGCCAUGCCGCGUGCGGGAAGAAGGCCUUCGGGUUGUAAACCGCUUUUAGUCGGGAAGAAAAGGCACGGGUGAAUACCCCGUGCUCUUGACGGUACCGGCGGAAUAAGCACCGGCUAACUACGUGCCAGCAGCCGCGGUAAAACGUCGGGGGCGAGCGUUAAUCGGAAUUACUGGGCGUCAAGCGUGCGCAGGCGGGUCGCUGUGUCCGAGGUG